AUUGAACGCUGGCGGCAGGCUUAACACAUGCAAGUCGAGCGGGGUGAUGGUGCUUGCACUAUCACUUAGCGGCGGACGGGUGAGUAAUGCUUAGGAAUCUGCCUAUUAGUGGGGGACAACAUUUCGAAAGGAAUGCUAAUACCGCAUACGUCCUACGGGAGAAAGCAGGGGAUCUUCGGACCUUGCGCUAAUAGAUGAGCCUAAGUCGGAUUAGCUAGUUGGUGGGGUAAAGGCCUACCAAGGCGACGAUCUGUAGCGGGUCUGAGAGGAUGAUCCGCCACACUGGGACUGAGACACGGCCCAGACUCCUACGGGAGGCAGCAGUGGGGAACAGUGGACAAUGGGCGGAAGCCUGAUCCAGCCAUGCCGCGUGUGUGAAGAAGGCCUUAUGGUUGUAAAGCACUUUAAGCGAGGAGGAGGCUACUUUAGUUAAUACCUAGAGAUAGUGGACGUUACUCGCAGAAUAAGCACCGGCUAACUCUGUGCCAGCCGCCGCGGUAAUAC
rnacentral:rRNA from 1 species